AUGAACGCUAGCUACAGGCUUAACACAUGCAAGUCGAGGGGCAGCGGGGUUGAAGCUUGCUUCAACCGCCGGCGACCGGCGCACGGGUGAGUAACACGUAUCCAACCUGCCGAUAACUCCGGGAUAGCCUUUCGAAAGAAAGAUUAAUACCGGAUGGCAUAGUUUUCCCGCAUGGAAUAACUAUUAAAGAAUUUCGGUUAUCGAUGGGGAUGCGUUCCAUUAGGCAGUUGGCGGGGUAACGGCCCACCAAACCGACGAUGGAUAGGGGUUCUGAGAGGAAGGUCCCCCACAUUGGAACUGAGACACGGUCCAAACUCCUACGGGAGGCAGCAGUGAGGAAUAUUGGUCAAUGGACGAGAGUCUGAACCAGCCAAGUAGCGUGAAGGAUGACUGCCCUAUGGGUUGUAAACUUCUUUUAUACGGGAAUAAAGUUAGCCACGUGUGGUUUUUUGCAUGUACCGUAUGAAUAAGGAUCGGCUAACUCCGUGCCAGCAGCCGCGGUAAUACGGAGGAUCCGAGCGUUAUCCGGAUUUAUUGGGUUUAAAGGGAGCGUAGGCGGGGUAUUAAGUCAGUUGUGAAAGUUUGCGGCUCAACCGUAAAAUUGCAGUUGAUACUGGUAUCCUUGAGUGCAGCAGAGGUGGGCGGAAUUCGUGGUGUAGCGGUGAAAUGCUUAGAUAUCACGAAGAACUCCGAUUGCGAAGGCAGCUCACUGGAGUGUAACUGACGCUGAUGCUCGAAAGUGUGGGUAUCAAACAGGAUUAGAUACCCUGGUAGUCCACGCCGUAAACGAUGAGUACUAAGUGUUGGGGGUCAAACCUCAGUGCUGCAGUUAACGCAAUAAGUACUCCGCCUGAGUAGUACGUUCGCAAGAAUGAAACUCAAAGGAAUUGACGGGGGCCCGCACAAGCGGUGGAGCAUGUGGUUUAAUUCGAAGCAACGCGAAGAACCUUACCAGGUCUUGACAUCGAUCUAAAGGCUCCAGAGAUGGAGAGAUAGCUAUAGAGAAGACAGGUGGUGCAUGGUUGUCGUCAGCUCGUGUCGUGAGAUGUUGGGUUAAGUCCCGCAACGAGCGCAACCCUUGUGAUAUGUUACUAACAUUGAGUUGAGGACUCAUAUCAGACUGCCGGUGAUAAACCGGAGGAAGGUGGGGAUGACGUCAAAUCAGCACGGCCCUUACGUCCGGGGCUACACACGUGUUACAAUGGGGGGUACAGAAGGCAGCUACACGGCGACGUGAUGCUAAUCCCAAAAACCUCUCUCAGUUCGGAUUGGAGUCUGCAACCCGACUCCAUGAAGCUGGAUUCGCUAGUAAUCGCGCAUCAGCCACGGCGCGGUGAAUACGUUCCCGGGCCUUGUACACACCGCCCGUCAAGCCAUGAAAGCCGGGGGUACCUGAAGUACGUAACCGCAAGGAGCGUCCUAGGGUAAAACUGGUGAUUGGGGCU
rnacentral:rRNA from 1 species